rnacentral:rRNA from 1 species
GACGUAGGGCGCGAGCGUUGUCCGGAUUUAUUGGGCGUAAAGAGCUCGUAGGCGGCUUGUCGCGUCGAAUGUGAAAACCUGCAGCUCAACUGCAGGCUUGCUUUCGAUACGGGCAGACUGGAGGUAUGCAGGGGAGAACGGAAUUCCUGGUGUAGCGGUGAAAUGCGCAGAUAUCAGGAGGAACACCUAUGGCGAAAGCAGGUAUCUGGGCCAUCACUGACGCUGAGCUGCGAAAGCUAGGGGAGCAAACAGG